rnacentral:rRNA from 1 species
AGAUUGAACGCUGGCGGCGUGCCCAACACAUGCAAGUCGAGCGGUAACGCGGGAGCAAUCCUGGCGACGAGCGGCGAACGGGUGAGUAAUACUUCGGAAUCUACCCACGGGUGGGGAAUAACCAGCCGAAAGGUUGGCUAAUACCGCAUACGCCUACGGGGAAAGCGGGGACCGAAAGGCCUCGCGCAGCAGGAUGAGCCGAUGUCCGAUUAGCUGGUUGGUGGGGUAACGGCCCACCAAGGCGACGAUCGGUAGCUGGUCUGAGAGGAUGAUCAGCCACACUGGGACUGAGACACGGCCCAGACUCCUACGGGAGGCAGC